AUGGAGAUGGCAAUGAAAACUCAAGCAGAACUGAAACAGCCCAUUACCUGCAAAAUCAUGUCCACAAAUGCGUCUCAGAAGACUGAUUGCAGCAACGCCAAUGGACUACGCCGCCGCCGCCGCCACCAUGGACGAACGGGGGCAUUGAACUCAGUCAUGAACGACCUGGUGGCCCUCCCGAUGAACCGACGUCACCGAUGCCUGGAUAGGAGACGGCGAAGAACAAGGACACGGGUCGCUCACAUAGGCAGAAAAACCACAACAGCAGCAGCUCCGCCCGUCUGAACAGCCGCGCAGUGACAAGCUCGUGUGCAGGGGCCAGUGAGAAAGAAAGUUUUCAGAGGCGUCAGAAUCAAGUUUGAGCACAACGGGGACAGACGAAUUACGGCGUUCCGCCGGCCUGUGAAGUACGAAGACGUGGAGCGCAAGGUGACAACAGUAUGUGGACAACCUCUUGAUCUACACGACAUGAACAACGAGCUCUCCACCCUGCUGAAAACCAAGAUGAUCUUGACAAAGCAAUUGACAUUUUGGACAGAAGCUCAAGCAUGAAAAGCCUUAGGAUAUUGCUGCUGUCCCAGGACAGAAACCGUAACGGUUCCUCCCCCCACUCUGAGGUGCCCAGGCAGGUGCGGAUCAAGGCUUCCCAGCCCGCAGGGGAUAUAAACCCUAUCUACCAGCCCCCUGAGCCCAGAAGCAGGCACCCCUCCGUCAGCUCGCAGAACCUCGGCCGAAGCUCACCACCCCGGCUAUGUUCCCGAGCGGCAGCAGCGCAUUUCCCGGCAGGGGUCCUACACCCGCAUCAACAGUGACGGGGAGUUCAUCCCACAGACCAGCGAGCAGUGCGUGCUGGAUCCCCUGAGCAGUGCAGAAAAUUCCUGGUCUGGAAUCUGCCAACCCUUGGACAGGUCAGCAGACAGCCCAUCCUUCCGGAAAUCACGAAUGUCCCGUGCCCAGAGCUUCCCUGACAACAGACAGGAAUACUCAGAUCAGGAAACUCGGCUCUAUGACAAAGGGGUCAAAGCUGGAACCUACCCCCGGCGCUACCGUGUAUCUGUGCACCACAGGGACUACAGCGAUGGCAGAAGAACAUUUCCCCGAAUACGGCGUCAUCAAGACAACUUGUUCACCCUGGUGCCCUCCAGCCGCUCCCUGAGCACAAAUGGCGAGAACAUGGGUCUAGCUGAGCAAUACCUGGACCCCCGUGGCGCCUGCGGAGUGCAGACAGCCAGAAUGCCCUCUCUGUGCAGGAGAGGAAUGUGCCAACCAUUCUUCCAGUGCCCCCAUCAGUUGGCGCCGGGGAAAGCUCCUCGGCCAGGGUGCCUUCGGCAGGGUCUAUUUGUGCUAUGACGUGGACACGGGACGUGAACUUGCUUCCAAGCAGGUCCAGUUUGACCCAGACAGGCCUGAGACAAGCAAGGAGGUGAGUGCUCUGGAGUGGGAGAUCCAGUUGCUAAAGAACUUGCAGCAUGACCACAUCGUGCAGUACUAUGGCUGUCUGCAGGACCGUGCUGAGAAGACCCUGACCAUCUUCAUGGGGUACAUGCCAGGAGGCUCCGUGAAAGACCAGUUGAAGGCCUAUGGUGCUCUGACAGAAAGCGUGACCCAAAAGUACACGUGGCAGAUCCUGGAGGGCAUGUCCUAUCUGCACAGUAACAUGAUCGUUCACCGGGACAUGAAGGGAGCCAGCAUCCAUCGAGACUCUGCUGGGAAUGUGAAGCUGGGGGACUCUGGGGCCAGCAAACGCCGGCAGACGGUCUGCAUGUCGGGACGGGCAUGCCCUCCGUCACUGGCACACCUUACUGGAUGAGUCCUGAGGUGAUCAGUGGUGAGGGCUGUGGAAGGAAAGCAGAGGUGUGGAGCCUGGGCUGCACUGUGGUGGAGAUGCUGACAGAGAAACCACCGUGGGCAGAGUAUGAAGCUAUGGCUGCCAUCUUCAAGAUUGCCAACCAGCCCACCAAUCCUCAGCUGCCCUCCCACAUCUCUGAACAUGGCCGGGACUUCCUGAGGUGCAUUUUUGUGGAGGCUCGCCAGAGACCUUCGGCUGAGGAGGGCUAA